AGGUCAACACGCUUUCACACGGGAACGCAACCGUUUCGGACGUUGGACGAACGUAUGUUGCCGCAAAAGAUCAAGGCCAACUUGCUUUCAUUUUUUACAAUCUCCGUAUGGGAUGUGGAAUUUCAAAACGCGCCGAGUCUAAAUGUCAAGUUGUUUUGCUUGUUGAGAAUAAUAAUUAAUUGCCCCCUUUAUAUUUGCUCCGUGGGAUUAACGUAAUGGGAAAAAUUUGUUGCAACGCAUGUGGAGGUGUCUUCGUUUGUUAACUUUUAGAAAGUAUUCUCGCACCGUAUAAAUACAUCUCAUUUUUCUCUGUUUUGUCAGUAGUUGUUUUUGGUAUUAUUCGUGCAACGUGGAAGCUAACUUAGUGGUUUGGUGUUCGUACAAAAAAGCAGUCUUAAAGAUCAUCUUAGUACUCUCAACCCGUAACCGCAAAUAGAAUAGCAGCAAUCUUAAGCAUGGACUUAAGUCAACUGAAUCAAACCUGUCUUGCAGAAGGUGAUUUUGAGCAGCCGAUUGUCAAACUGCAUGAAUUGCCGAUAGGCGUUCCGUUUAAAAUUACUAGAGCCAAAAUUGUUAAUACAAAAUUUGGCAAUUCCGUGUUGCUGCAAUUAGAAAAUUCCGUAGUAUUUCUUCCUACUCGCGUGACAGAAGCUUU